UAUCAUUAGUUGCCUACGCAAGAGCACUCUAAUGAGACUGCCGGUUGACAAAACGGAGGAAGGUGGGGAUGACGUCAAAUCAUCAUGCCCCUUAUGACCCGGGCUACACACGUACUACAAUGGCGUUAACAGAGGGAAGCAACAUCGCGAGGUGAAGCAAAUCUCUAAAAAACGUCCCAGUUCAGAUUGCAGGCUGCAACUCGCCUGCAUGAAGACGGAAUUGCUAGUAAUCGCAGAUCAGCAUGCUGCGGUGAAUACGUUC
rnacentral:rRNA from 1 species